CGCCCGGCUGGCCCUGCCGCUGGCGGACUACAACUCCCAGGCGGGCGAGCGGCGGCGGUGGCAGUGGGUCGAGCUGAGGGGAGCGGAGCGGAGCCGAGCCGGGAUGAACGCGGUGCUGGCUGUCAAGCAGUACGUGUCCAAGAUGAUCGAGGACAGCGGGCCGGGCAUGAAGGUGCUCCUCAUGGACCGGGAGACGACCGGUAUCGUGAGCAUGGUGUACACGCAGUCCGAGAUCCUGCAGAAGGAGGUGUACCUCUUCGAGCGUCUCGAUUCCGCCAACAGGGAGGCCAUGAAGCACCUGAAGGCCAUCUGCUUCCUUCGGCCCACCAAGGAGAACGUGGAGUUCCUCAUCCAGGAGCUGCGGAGGCCGAAGUACAGCAUCUAUUUCAUUUAUUUCAGUAACGUGAUCAGUAAGAGUGAUGUCAAAUCAUUAGCUGAGGCUGAUGAACAGGAAGUUGUGGCUGAAGUUCAGGAGUUCUAUGGUGAUUACAUUGCAGUGAAUCCACACGUUUUUUCUCUCAACCUCUUGGGCUGCUGCCAGGGUCGCAGCUGGGAUCCAGCUCAGCUGUCCCGGACAACUCAAGGGCUGACUGCUCUGCUUUUGUCUCUGAAGAAAUGCCCCAUGAUUCGGUACCAGCUCUCCUCUGAGUCAGCAAAGAGGCUUGCUGAAUGUGUGAAGCAAGUAAUCACUAAAGAGUAUGAGCUGUUUGACUUUCGGCGCACUGAGGUUCCUCCUUUACUUCUUAUUCUGGACCGGUCUGACGAUGCCAUCACCCCACUUCUGAACCAGUGGACGUACCAGGCUAUGGUUCACGAAUUGCUGGGGAUUAACAACAACCGCAUUGACCUCUCUCGGGUACCGGGGAUAAGCAAGGAUCUCCGAGAGGUGGUCUUGUCUGCUGAGAACGACGAGUUCUAUGCCAACAACAUGUACCUGAACUUUGCAGAGAUUGGCAGUAACAUCAAGAAUCUUAUGGAGGAUUUCCAGAGGAGGAAACCUAAGGAGCAGCAGAAGCUGGAAUCCAUAGCAGAUAUGAAGGCAUUUGUGGAGAAUUACCCGCAGUUCAAGAAGAUGUCAGGCACGGUAUCGAAGCACGUGACAGUAGUGGGAGAGCUCUCUCGACUGGUUGGUGAGCGGAACCUGCUGGAGGUGUCUGAAGUAGAGCAGGAACUGGCCUGCCAGAAUGACCAUUCCAGUGCUCUCCAGAAUGUGCGACGCCUCCUGCAGAACCCCAAGGUGACAGAGUUUGACGCUGCCCGGCUGGUGAUGCUUUAUGCCCUGCACUACGAGCGGCACAGCAGCAAUAGCCUGCCAGGGUUGAUCACAGACCUCAAGAACAGGGGUGUGUCAGAGAAAUACCGAAAGCUAGUGUCUGCUGUUGUGGAGUAUGGAGGGAAACGGGUCCGGGGCAGUGACCUGUUCAGUCCCAAGGAUGCUGUAGCCAUCACCAAACAAUUCCUCAAAGGACUGAAGGGUGUUGAGAAUGUGUAUACGCAACACCAGCCUCUUCUUCACGAAACACUAGAUCAGCUCAUCAAAGGAAAACUCAAGGACAGCCAGUACCCCUACCUGGGUCCCAACACUCUCCGUGACAGGCCCCAAGAUAUUAUUGUGUUCAUCAUUGGAGGGGCAACUUACGAAGAGGCGCUGACUGUCUAUAACCUUAACCGCACCAACCCGGGGGUCCGGAUCGUCCUAGGUGGGACCACCAUCCACAACACAAAAAGCAUUAAUGUUCAGAUAACUUGAUCAGCAUAUUGAAGGAAUGAGUCAACCUAGAAACUGGUAGCACUGUAUCGCAUUGCCAGAGUAACCAUCUUCCUGGUAACACAUCCUCAUUAGAUCGUACGUGGGAGCGUUGCUGUGGUUUUGCACAGUAUUCAGCUGCCUCCCAAACUGCACAGACCAGCAGGUGUAGGUAACUGUGAUGAAGUAAUGCCAGUGGGCCAGAGCUUUGUUUUGUGGGCAGUCCUCACAGCUCCUUUGGCUUCAGAGACUUCUCAUAGAGAUGUCUAGGGAUGUCAUGUGAAGGUUUCACUCACACCUGUCUUGCUCUGGUGUUGGUAUUAUAGCAGCGCUCAGAGACCCGGCUGCUCAGGAGCUGUAUCAGCACACAGGAGAAGACAGUCUGGUCGGUGUAUACUCCAGACAAGGCCAGUCACAUGAAAGAUGGAGGUGGGGAGCAGCAGCAAAGGGCAGGAGUGAGCUGUGGCUUGCUGGUAAAACUGGGACUAGCUCCAAGCUUCAGUCUUAGUCUAGCGCUUACCUCUGUAGGCCAUGCUCCCAUUUGGCUUUUGCAGGCAGGAGUGCCGUAUGAAAGCAUAGAAGCCUAUGAUCAAACAAAAACAAUGCAAAGAGCAUUAUUCUUUCAAAGGUUGGGGGUUUUUUUCCUCUUGAAAGGAUUGAAUCGGUCUCAAACCUUAACCCACUUUUAGACCUAUUUAAACGACUGUGUUUCCAAGGUUUAGUCUCCCUUGCUCUGGUGUGUUUUGCUGGAUUAGGCUCUGCUGUGCUUUGUGAAGCAGGGCUGAGACUGCCGGAGUGCAGGUGUGAUGCAGCUGACCUUGGUGCAGCUCCAACAAAUACCAGUCUGUAUGUACACCUACUUCUCAGCUUGCUGCGCAUACCCGUCCACCCAGAUAAGAAAUGAAUCCGCGCUCAUGACAAGUGUAAGCCUGGAAACUGAAACGCCGUGGCAUGUUUCAGGGAUAAAAUUGGCCUUUGAAGACUGCCGGGUGACAGAAUGAGUGAAAUUCAUUUUGCAGACUCAUCAAGCUUCCUUGAGGAAGUUACAGCUUCAGGGUUCCGCGGCCGAACUACCGAGAGCUCUCAAGUUACACCAAGGUCAAGCAGCAGACGGU